rnacentral:rRNA from 1 species
UACGUAGGAGGCAAGCGUUUGUCCGGAAUUACUGGGUGUAAAGCGCGUGUAGGUGGUGGGCCAAGUCUGUGGUGAAAUCGCCCGGCUCAACUGGGCGAGGUCCGUGGAAACUGGUCGACUGGAGGACGGUAGAGGCGAGUGGAAUUCCCGGUGUAGUGGUGAAAUGCGUAGAGAUCGGGAGGAACACCAGUGGCGAAGGCGGCUCGCUGGGCCGGUCCUGACACUGAGACGCGAAGGCGUGGGGAGCAAACAGG